UUCUCUCUGAUAUAUGUUUCUGCAAUCUUCAACAUUAAGGUUUUUUUUUUUUUACUCAUUUCUGUAUAUUUCCUUUCAUCAAAAAUCUAUCAGACCUCCAUGACUGAGCUUCCACGAUUCUUUAAGGUUUUCAUCCCAGAGACGUCUUCUGAAGCGUUGGCGAUUCCAUUGUCUUUCACGGAACAUCUUGUUGAUCCAUUGCCAGAGAAAGCGAAGUUCCAAGGCGCCGGAGGAAGAUUUUGGACAGUGAGCUUGACAAAACUGUGCGGAGGUUUGCAGUGGACCAUGAUCUCAAGUCCGGAGAAUACUUAACAUUUGUCUACGAUGGUAAUCACACCUUUGAAGUCACUGUUUACGGUUGUUUGGGUAGCAAAGAAACACGAGCUGUAGCACAAAUGGUUGAGCUUAGUGAUUCUGAUAGCGAAGAAGAAGACCAAGAAACUGCAAUGGAUGUUGAUGAUGAUGGUUUUAGUUCUGGUGAAGAACAGGAUACAUGAGCUGUUGAUUCCAGCCAAAGUGGUGAAAGAACAUAAGCUUACGCUUGGUAAACGCCUCUACUACAUUGAUGAACAUGGUUCCUUGAAAGGGAAAAAAGCAAAAUAUAAAGAUGGGAGAACUUGUCGUUACAUAGGGUUUGACAAGAUUACCAAAAGGAACAGCCUUAAAGCUGGAGAUACUAUCACAUGCAAUCUCCUUCAUACCCGAAAGCUUGUUCAUUCCGUCAGAAUCCACAUCAAUCAUAGAGCUCCUUGAGUCUCUCAACAUCAUCAUCACUAUCUCCACCAUCAAUACUGAUUUACUAUGGCUUUUCUUUGUUCAUGAGAAUCUUAAUUUUCUUUUCAGGUUUUUGUUACCACAAUUUUGUUUGAUGAUAAUCAUGUGACCAUUAAAGUCCAAUUUCAUCAGUUAAUGACUUUUUACCACCACAAUA